UUAUAAGAGACAGCAGUAGCCGCGGUAAUACAGAGGGUGCGAGCGUUAAUCGGAUUUACUGGGCGUAAAGCGUGCGUAGGCGGCUUCUUAAGUCGGAUGUGAAAUCCCUGAGCUUAACUUAGGAAUUGCAUUCGAUACUGGGAAGCUAGAGUAUGGGAGAGGAUGGUAGAAUUCCAGGUGUAGCGGUGAAAUGCGUAGAGAUCUGGAGGAAUACCGAUGGCGAAGGCAGCCAUCUGGCCUAAUACUGACGCUGAGGUACGAAAGCAUGGGGAGCAAACAGGAUUAGAUACCCGAGUAGUCCCUGUCUCUUAUAC
rnacentral:rRNA from 1 species